GCAAGUCGUGAUGUUAAUGAAGAAGGUUCGUAGGUAUAUAAAGCUUCCUUGGAACACCAUGUACUCAUUUAUAUUCAAACACGAUGAGAUAUAAUCGUUUAGUACUAAAGUUUUUGAUAUUAUUUACUUUUGUAUGUGUUAAAAGUGAUUUGAACAAAGAUGGGAGAGUUGUGUUAGUAUCGCCCGUUUUAGCUCCUUAUAGAAACGCAAGAGCAGAAACUAAUGAGACAGCUAAAGACUUUCCUGUGCUAAUGUUGUUGGCUGGCGAUGGAGACAAAAGUGUACGUGAAGACAAAAUGAAGGAUAUUGUACAACAGCCUGUUUAUGUAAAAAAAUUAGAAGACCAAAAACAACUCCGGAGACGCCGUAGAAAAAUAAGCAAGAUCUACUUCGUGCAAAGAUAUUAAUAGUCAACAAAAAACUAUAGAUGAGCAAUUGUUGCCGGAACACAUCUCAUAUUUUGAGUAAAACCCUCAUAAAUAAAUUACGAGGAAAUAAGCGCUUUAUUACAAGUGA